UUUAGUUCAGGGUUAGGUGUUAUC
rnacentral:siRNA from 1 species